UACGAAGGGGGCUAGCGUUGCUCGGAAUCACUGGGCGUAAAGCGCACGUAGGCGGAUCUUUAAGUCAGGGGUGAAAUCCUGGAGCUCAACUCCAGAACUGCCUUUGAUACUGGGGAUCUCGAGUCCGGGAGAGGUGAGUGGAACUGCGAGUGUAGAGGUGAAAUUCGUAGAUAUUCGCAAGAACACCAGUGGCGAAGGCGGCUCACUGGCCCGGUACUGACGCUGAGGUGCGGAAAGCGUGGGGAGCAAGCAGGG
rnacentral:rRNA from 1 species